UACGUAGGCAGCAAGCGUUGUUCGGAGUUACUGGGCGUAAAGGGUGUGUAGGCGGUUCUUUAAGUUUGGUGUGAAAUCUCCCGGCUCAACUGGGAGGGUGCGCCGAAUACUGAGGGACUAGAGUACGGGAGAGGAAAGUGGAAUUCCUGGUGUAGCGGUGAAAUGCGUAGAUAUCAGGAGGAACACCGGUGGUGUAGACGGCUUUCUGGCUGCUAACUGACGCUGAGGCGCGAAGGCUGGGGUAGCGAACAGG
rnacentral:rRNA from 1 species